UCAUACGCGAAUUUGUCGCGCCCGCUGUG
rnacentral:sRNA from 1 species